UUGUUGUUCUUUUGUCUUCUCUCUGUAGACCAGGCUGGCUUCGAACUCACAGUUCUGCCCUCCUCUGCCUCCCCAGUGCCACCGCAGCAUGGCUAAAAACAUUCUUAAAAUAGUGUAAAAAAUAUGAAAUACAAAACAGGGGAAACUUCUGGAUUAUUAAGCUCCUACACAAGGCUCCAGCAGACCAGCCUGAAAGUUGAAAUGGACUGACUCAGCAUGAAGUUCACCAAGCUGUCACCUAGCCGUUCAUCUGGCCCAAGAAUUCCAGAUUACAGUCAGCUGUUUGAGGCUACAUCAGUUCAACAUCCAGACUUAAAAAUCGAGGAGUCAAGAAUAGCGGAUACACGAGACUUCCGGGCUCUGGCCUUCUGAUUGGCUGAUACAAAAAUCACUCAAACAACGACAACGGGGCAUUGCGUCAUCAGCGAGCG
rnacentral:lncRNA from 1 species